rnacentral:ncRNA from 2 species
UACUCAUCAAGAGUGAUGGAGGGACUGGCCCUAUGAAAUCCGGCAACCAAGUUUAUACUAUGGUGCUAAAUCCAGCGGUAUAUGAUACCGAGAAGAUGAGAG